rnacentral:tRNA from 1 species
GGAGGGUACAGCUCAGUGGUACAGCACAUGCUUAGAAUGCACGAGGUCCUGGGUUCAAUCCCUGGAACUUCUA